CCCUGAGAGGCAGCGUAGCAAAGCUAAGAGACGCUGCACCAUUCCGUUGUUGGCACGGUAUUCAGCUUCUCAGUGGAUUCUCAUGGGUUUUCUGUGAAGACUGAGUCAGUGUACAUAACACUUCCAGUCGCUCCAGGCAUGUAACGGGCUCCCAUGGCCUGCUGCUCCUUCAGCAGUGCCACCUCCUGGGCCAGACUGUCCAGCUGGCUUCUGAACUCCUCAAACAUCUUGGGACCCACAGCAUCUAGGAACAAGGCAAAAGGAAGGAGACAUCAUCACAAACACAGGAGGCAGGCAGGAGAGAGGACAGGGGGCCUCUUUCCUGUCCCUACCUCGUCCACCACGAGGAGACAAGCAGAAACAACUCCCCUCGGCCUUGAUAAUGUGGUUUACUUCCUCUGGCAGCCGCUGAGCUGCCAACUUGCACUCUGCCACCUGGCCAGCGCAGCAAGUGGUCUCUGCAGACCCAAAUCUCUCCUCUGGACUCCAGCCCCCAUUUUCAUGUACUGGCCCCUACAACUCAAUUUUUCCUGAGAUUGUCCAUCCGCCUUGCUUUUUCAAGGGAUCACUGGAGAUUUGUGGAAAAGGCAGAUCCUACCAGAAAAAGUCUAUGCCUAUGUUUCCGUGGGUGUAGGAACACACGUGAACACACGUGCAUGCAUGGUGCCUGCACAGGACUCCCCUCCAAGCAGUCGAGUCAUGAUUUAAUAUAGAAUCACAGCAAGGGAGUGUUUUUGGCCUGGGGCCGUCUCAAGUUUAGGCCUGGCAUGUCUCCAAGGAGGGCCUCCACAGCCUCAGGGGGACACCAGAUGCCCUGAGAGAAGACAAGCUCAUCACAGAACUAUAAACUUGUACCAUCACCAGCUCCUGUGGCAGCCUCAGAACGUCAUUCUAAAAGGAAAUCUUGUGUUGUGAGUAGCAUGUUGUCCUGUGUCUAUUUGCAUAUUAAACGUGUUAUUUCAUCAAAUGUAAACAUUGAAGAUCUAUCGCCAU